AUUGAACGCUGGCGGAAUGCUUUACACAUGCAAGUCGAACGGUAGAGGGGGCAACCCCUCGAGAGUGGCGAACGGGUGAGUAAUAUAUCGGAACGUGCCCAGUCGUGGGGGAUAACGUAGCGAAAGUUACGCUAAUACCGCAUACGAUCUAAGGAUGAAAGCGGGGGAUCGCAAGACCUCGCGCGAUUGGAGCGGCCGAUAUCAGAUUAGGUAGUUGGUGGGGUAAAGGCUCACCAAGCCAACGAUCUGUAGCUGGGCUGAGAGGACGACCAGCCACACUGGAACGGAGACACGGUCCAGACUCCUACGGGAGGCAGCAGGGGGGAAUUUUGGACAAUGGACGCAAGUCUGAUCCAGCCAUUCCGCGUGCAGGACGAAGGCCCUCGGGUUGUAAACUGCUUUUGUACGGAACGAAAAGGUCUCUCUUAAUACGGGGGACUCAUGACGGUACCGUAAGAAUAAGCACCGGCUAACUACGUGCCAGCCGCCGCGGUAACAC
rnacentral:rRNA from 1 species